UUGGUGUAGUAAUUGGUGAAGAUGAUUUGUUGGGAUUUUUCUCUUUGAUUUCCUGAUGAGAGUUGAGAAAAAUCUUGCUAGCUUGAAAGAUGAAAUGAUGAUCUUGGAUUUUUACAUGUAAAAAGAAAAAGAAAGUGUCUUGUGAGAGUUUUUGCAAAUGGAAUGGAAAAUAUUCUUGUGUUAGACAAGUUCUUUUUUUUUUUUGGUGAGUAAUUUUAUUUUAUAGAACUUGUAUAGACAGUUUGAUGCCCGACCCCGUGCAUAGCAG
rnacentral:misc_RNA from 1 species